GACGAACGCUGGCGGCGUGCUUUACACAUGCAAGUCGAACGGAAAGGCCCUGCUUGUGUGGGUUGCUCGUGUGGCGAACGGGUGAGUAACACGUGAGUAACCUUCCCUGUACUGUGGGAUAACUUCAGGAUACUGGUGCUAAUACCUGAUAUGAGCUCCGGCAGCAUGGUGGUGGUUGGAACUUUUGGGCGGUUGGGGAUGGACGCGCGGCUUAUCAGCUUGUUGGUGGGGUAGUUGCUGACCAAGGCUUUGAAGGGUAGCCGGCCUGGGAGGGUGACCGGGGUCCUUGGGCCUGCGAGAGGGAGCAGACGCGUAUGGGAGGCAGCAGGGGGAAACAUUGCACAAUGGGGCGAAGCAUGAUACAGAAACGCUGCGUGCGGGAAGACGUCCCUGGGGGUGUAAAACGGCUUAGCCUGUGACGAAGUGUGAGUGACGGUAAUGGGUAAAGAAGCACCGGCUAACUACGUG
rnacentral:rRNA from 1 species